rnacentral:rRNA from 1 species
ACAUGCCUACAACAUAGCGUUAAUGCACCAAAUCCCAUUAGAACUUCGUAGUUAAGAACGCUCACGCUAGAGUAGCAUUGGGAUGGGUGAUUGCCCAAGAAUUCCUAAUGUUUCACAUUCC